GAUGAACGCUGGCGGCGUGCCUAAUACAUGCAAGUAGAACGCUGAAGGAGGAGCUUGCUCUUCUGGAUGAGUUGCGAACGGGUGAGUAACGCGUAGGUAACCUGCCUGGUAGCGGGGGAUAACUAUUGGAAACGAUAGCUAAUACCGCAUGACAACAGUUAUUGCAUGAUAACUGUUUAAAAGGGGCAACUGCUCCACUACCAGAUGGACCUGCGUUGUAUUAGCUAGUUGGUGAGGUAACGGCUCACCAAGGCGACGAUACAUAGCCGACCUGAGAGGGUGAUCGGGCACACUGGGACUGAGACACGGCCCAGACUCCUACGGGAGGGAGCAGGAGGGAAUCUUCGGCAAUGGACGGAAGUCUGACCGAGCAACGCCGCGUGAGUGAAGAAGGGUUUCGGAUCGUAAAGCUCUGUUGUAAGAGAAGAACGAGUGUGAGAGUGGAAAGUUCACACUGUGACGGUAUCUUACCAGAAAGGGACGGCUAACUACGUG
rnacentral:rRNA from 1 species